AUUGAACGCUGGCGGCAUGCCUAACACAUGCAAGUCGAACGGCAGCGCGGGGGCAACCCUGGCGGCGAGUGGCGGACGGGUGAGGAAUGCAUAGGAAUCUGCCCGGUUGUGGGGGAUAACGUAGGGAAACUUACGCUAAUACCGCAUAGGACCUUCGGGUGAAAGUGGGGGACCUUUGGGCCUCACGCGAUCGGAUGAGCCUAUGCCCGAUUAGCUAGUUGGCGGGGUAAGAGCCGACCAAGGCGACGAUCGGUAGCUGGUCUGAGAGGAUGAUCAGCCACACUGGGACUGAGACACGGCCCAGACUCCUACGGGAGGCAGCAGUGGGGAAUAUUGGACAAUGGGCGCAAGCCUGAUCCAGCAAUGCCGCGUGUGUGAAGAAGGCCUUCGGGUUGUAAAGCACUUUUGUUCGGGAAGAAAUCCGUGUGGUUAAUACCCGUACGGGAUGACGGUACCGAAAGAAUAAGCACCGGCUAACUUCGUG
rnacentral:rRNA from 1 species